AGGUCUUGACAUCCAGUGCAAACCUAAGAGAUUAGGUGUUCCCUUCGGGGACGCUGAGACAGGUGGUGCAUGGCU
rnacentral:rRNA from 1 species